rnacentral:rRNA from 1 species
ACGAACGCUGGCGGCGUGCUUAACACAUGCAAGUCGCACGAAGCUCGCUUACGGAUCCUUCGGAUGAAGUAUGAUAUGACUGAGUGGCGGACGGGUGAGUAACGCGUGAGUAACCUGCCCUUCAGAGGGGGAUAGCGUUUGGAAACGAACGGUAAUACCGCAUAAUGUAUUUUCACCGCAUCAUCGAAAUUCCAAAGAUUUAUUGCUGGAGGAUGGACUGGCGUCUGAUUAGGUAGUUGGUGGGGUAACGGCCUACCAAGCCGACGAUCAGUAGCCGGACUGAGGGGUUGCUCGGCCACAUUGGGACUGAGACACGGCCCGGACACCUACGGGAGGCAGCAGUGGGGAAUAUUGAACAAUGGGCGCAAGCCUGAUACGGCAACGCCGCGUGAAGGAAGACGGUUUUCGGAUUGUAAACUUCUGUCCUUAGUGAAGAAUAAUGACGGUAGCUAAGGAGCAAGCCACGGCUAACUACGUG